GGGGAUUUAGCUCAGUGGUAGAGUGCUUGCCUAGGAAGCGCAAGGCCCUGGGUUCGGUUCCCAGCUCCA
rnacentral:tRNA from 1 species